AACGCAUAUUGCACUUUCUGGUAUUCCGGAAAGUAUGCCUGUUUGAGGGUCAGUUAAAUAAAAAUCGGUGUUGUUGCUGCCUUUCGUGGUGACGCGUCGGAAUUGAGUUGUCUUACCUUCGGUUAAGUGACUUAAAAUUUUGUAUGAUUUUUGAACGUAUUUAAAUUUAUUUGUACGUUUGAGAUAUCGAAUAUUUAUUAGGUUCGGUCAUUCUAACGACUCGUGCCUAUAAUUUUUCAUUAAAUGACCUCAAAUCAGGUAAGAAUACCCGCUGAACUUAA
rnacentral:misc_RNA from 1 species